AGAAAAUGGCAAAUGGUGGGAGAGUGAAUAGCUGGACAUGUAUCAAUUUUGCAAAGAAUGUGCAAGAUAAUUUGACUAGGGGAUUUUGUCAUGAGCUUGCUCAGAUGUGCCAGAUAUCAGGAAUGGAAUUUUCUCUAGAUCCUGUGCUUCAUCCUCUAACUGCUCGACCUGAUCAUG